rnacentral:rRNA from 1 species
CGCUGGCGGCAUGCUUUACACAUGCAAGUCGGACGGCAGCACAGAGAAGCUUGCUUCUCGGGUGGCGAGUGGCGAACGGGUGAGUAACAUAUCGGAACGUACCGAGUAGUGGGGGAUAACUGAUCGAAAGAUCAGCUAAUACCGCAUACGUCUUGAGAGAGAAAGCAGGGGACCUUCGGGUCUUGCGCUAUUCGAGCGGCCGAUAUCUGAUUAGCUAGUUGGUGGGGUAAAGGCUCACCAAGGCGACGAUCAGUAGCGGGUCUGAGAGGAUGAUCCGCCACACUGGGACUGAGACACGGCCCAGACUCCUACGGGAGGCAGCAGUGGGGAAUUUUGGACAAUGGGCGCAAGCCUGAUCCAGCCAUGCCGCGUGUCUGAAGAAGGCCUUCGGGUUGUAAAGGACUUUUGUCAGGGAAGAAAAGGCUGUUGCUAAUACCAGCGGCUGAUGACGGUACCUGAAGAAUAAGCACCGGCUAAC